CUUUUUAGGGCCGCACCUGUGGCAUAUGGAGGUUCCCAGGCUAGGGGUCAAAUCGGAUCUACAGGCUGCCGGCCUACACCACAGCCACAGCAACACCAGAUCUGAGUUGAGUCUGAGACCCACACCGCAGCUCACGGCAACGCUGGAUCCUUAACCACUGAUGGAGGCCAGGGAUGGAACCUGCAUGCUCAUGGAUAAUCGUCGGGUUCCUUGUGACUGCGCCACAGCGGGAACUCCAGCCAUGUACAUUAAAAAUGAACAGACGAGCAAAACCUCAAACUCGUGGAGUCAAGGGCCUUCCUGACCUUCAGUUGAAUGUGCGCCUCCUUGUCACGGGGCUGCACAGCUCCCCUGUCCUGUGCGGACAGUCUUGGAGAUGGUGAUGGUUCAGUCACUGUGAGAGUGAUUGUGGUGAUUUACGGGGAGGAUCAAGAACCGCCUUCAGAGGGACAGCACCUGCGUCACUGUGGCCACAUUGAGCUUUCUGAGUCAGUUGCACUGCCGGGUAAAAGGGACCAGUUACACUGAAGGGAGUUGAAGGCCUCACCUACCGCUCAUAAUUUGUGUGUCCAUAAAAGAAAGUGAUGCGAGGUCACCAAGAAGGAUCCGUAAAGAGUGAAGUGAGAGCACUUUCUCUGCCGGCAAAGGUGACGGGCUUAGAGCUGCGGGGAUGGCAUUUUCUAAACUUCGAGUUGGGACAUGUGCUCUGAUAUGUCUGAGUGCGGUUUCAGAGGCACUAGGCAGGCAUCUUUAAAGGGGGCUUUGGGAAGGGUAAAGCACGUGGCUGCCACCGGGGGAGUUAUAUGUGGGGGGCGGGCACGGAGAGAAUAUUUGCCCCAGCAAGCAGCGCCACCUUCAUUCCCACGGUCAGACGUUCAGCACACACCGCCCUCUGUCCAUCGCUGCCUCAAACUCACACGCCCUCAUUUACUGCAGUUACCAAUGCCUCUGCUCGGAGCCUCCCCAGGUGGCAUUUUCCUUUAAUCACGCCUUGUGUCUUUGACUCUGUGCUGCGCUGUCAUGUAGUGCUGGGUAUACACAGGCCUCUGUAAUCUUUGGUGUGAACUGCGGUGGUAGAGGUUUGCCCAGGAUUCUAGGAGAGCCCGGGAAGGCGACGCUGCCCAGGCCGGAAGGCUUCGGGCAGGAGUCAAGGACAACCGUUGUCUUUGUCUCCCUGGAAUCCCUUCUCCCUCUCUGCAGGCAACGGGCCUCUUCCUAGGGAAGACCCAGUCCUCUGUGAGUGAGUGAGCCUGACUCAGCAGCCCCUGGCCUGGGACCUGGACAAAUAACUGUCUCCCCUGGGAGUUUUACGACAUAGCCAUUGGCAGAGACUCAUUUUGUUAGGGCUGCUAAUCUGAAGGGGUAUAAACUGGAGGUGGCCACUGGUCAUCUUUCCAGUCAUUUGGAGGAAGUCAGACUGGACGGAACAUAUAUUACCACAGCUGCAGAGACACUUCCCCCGUCAAUCUAAGGUAAUUGAAACUUGGCUGCCAAGAUCUACAUGAAAAUCAGAAAAUUCGCCUUCCACCUGUAGACUCCUGCUAUCCUAUUACAGGGAUGCCACUGCCUCGAACAGCUGGUGGACCUUCCUAAGAAUGAAACCAAAGAACAGAGGAAAGGCGGCCCAAGAGAACAAGGAAAAAAACAAAGCCUUAAUAGUAGCAUUCAAGCUCCUGGAUCCAACCAUUCCUGAGGCUAGGUGUUACUCCUAUACUUGUAUAAUCCAGUAAGUCCCCGCCCCACUUUUUUCUUAAGUUAGAUUUUUGUUGUCUGCAAGCACAAAGGGUUUUCUGGAGUAUAUAAUGCUUUAGCUGAGUCUCAGUGGGUGAGUGGGAAUUUGUCAGGUGAGGUAAGGAUGGCAGCUGAGGUGGGUCAGAUUUUCCAGGCAGUUAGGUCAUGUAAACAAAGGCUUGGGGAGAAAUUUUCUAAGGAAAAUAUCUAUACAAAAUAAUACAAUGGGCAUUGCCAUUGGUCCAGGCUCUUCACUUGGAAAAAAUUCUGCCUCAGAGUGGCCAAAUCAAUUUGGAAGGAGUACCCACAAGAGCAUGGCCCUCUGAGUGAAGUGCACACAGCAGUAAUGAGUUGGGAAAAUACUGGCUCAUAAGACUCAACAGCUUCUGGGAUGAAAUUAUAACCGCGGUAGCUAGAAGAAGUGACAGAAAUAUUACCUUUACUUUAAUAAGAAGUUCAAUUUAAUCUGUUAGGACACACGCAGAAACGUUCGUGGAAAUCAGUCACAUUCAUUUGAUGCUCUUGUUUAUUUAGAAUGGCUGAAAAGUAAGGUGUUUUUGUAUAAUUGCUUCUGAGUAAAGGAAUUGUUUUUACCCGUGCUCUGCCAAUUUAUAAAAACCAUACACUAAAUUUAAUACAGCUGAUGAUGAAAGUGAAUCCUCUGCAUGGCUGGGGCAGUGCUCGGGAAGCCAAAAGCCUUUUGAGCACAUCGUUCUCCUUGCCUUAAACGCGUCCUGUCUCCUUUUCGCCUUCACCUUCUAGACUUACCUCUCCUUGAAUGUCCGUUUCAAAUCCUGCUCCUCCAAGUGUGUGCUUCUGAAUACUCGAGCAGAAUCAAGCCCAUGCCUCAGUCUGAGUCCAUGCCUCAGUUUACCACCAAGAUGAGACACUCCUUAUUGUCUCUUUAUGCAGUGAACUUGAAAGACAACUUAACUUUGGGUUAGAGGCCUGUUUGGAUAGAGCGCCUGGGGCAAAGGGGCCUUAAUACCUGAUCUUUUGGCUACACAGUAGAUUCUGCAUUGUGGGAGUUCCACCACUCUAGGCCUGCCCUUCUACAAGGUGUCUCCAGGGAUUGUAGUUUCAUGGGAUACUGAUAAGUAUUAUGAAAAAAUGAAUCCAUGAUAAAACAUGUUUAGGUAUUUCAUGUAUUAGAUGAAAUACUUUAACUCCAACAGGUCUCUAAAGUGAAGGACUCAGAGACUUCACUGCGCUUCUGUUACUGCUCAGAAGGAGCAUGUAGUAUAUUUGAUGCUUGAACAACAUGGAUUUGAACCGUGCAGGUGCCCUUAAACCUAGUUUUUUUUUCAGCAGAUAGUUCCCGUCGUGGCUCAGUGGUUAACGAAUCUGACUAGGAACGAUGAGGUUGUGGGUUUGAUCCCUGGCCUCGCUCAGUGGGAUAAGGAUCCGGCGUUGCCGUGAGCUGUGGUGUAGGUUGCAGAUGCGGCUUGGAUCCUGCGUUGCUGUGGUGUAGGCUGGCAGCUACAUCUCCAAUUCAACCCCUAGCCUGGGACCCUCCAUACGCCACGGGGGCGGCCCUAGAAAAGGC
rnacentral:lncRNA from 1 species